GUCCCGAUAGCUCAGUGGUAGAGCUCCUGUAUAUGGGGAGCGAAAGCUCCUAGCCAUAUUUGUCAGGAGGCCGCAGGUUCAAUCCUGCUCAGUGGCU